UAGAAUAUUAGGUUUUACUUGCAGAAAAAUCAAGUUCUCUAAUAUAGCGUCACUAUUUUUAUAUUGAUUGUCACAUUUUCAAAAUUAGCAUGGCUUUUUUAUAUUUAUGCAUUUAAAAUAAAUAUUAUAUUUAUUAUAUUUAAUUUAUAAUCCGAAGAAACAAGAAGAUUUGAAACUAACGAUCUAUUAUCGAUCGGUAUGCCUUAAUCGAAAAUCGGAAGCUACGAACUCGGCGGCAUGGCUUUCUUGGCAUAGACAAUUUUAUUUUAUUUAUGGUUUUUCGACUUUUUGUGGAAUCUAGGAAAUUUUCGGAGACGUCAAAGGCCUAAACUUUAAUAACAAUAAGUGAGUCUCUGAAAUCGCCCAAUGGCUUGGCUUGGGUCAAAUUCAAUUUGUUUUAUGGGUUUUGGACUAUUUUGGACUGGAUUUGAAGAAGCAGCCCAUCGAAAAAGGAUCAAAUUUGAAUUACGAGAAUUCUGCCACGUAUCAUUGAAGUUUUUAAUAAGCUGUAAUCGACACAUUUAUUCAAAUUGUAUUUUUCAGGGGUCUCUGGCGUCCCAAAAUGGAGAAUGGACACAAAAAAGCAGGAAUUACUAAAUCUUAUCCAAAUUGUUCUGGGCUUUUAACAAUCGACUACUACAAUAAUUUAUAACAAAAUUGUUUGGACAUCCUAAAUAAAAUGCAGUGCAUGACGGACACUGGAGGACACUAGUUUAACCGUCGGAGGAACUAAGUAACCUAUGGUGGUGUAAUGGCGAUACGACAUGACGUCCGAGGAGGCAACAGCAACGGCAUUGGAAAGGCAAAGGCAGAGGCGAUUUGCGAUUGGAUAGCGACGGCAAACAAGAUCGCGCGAACUGUCGGCAAUAAACUCUGCACAAGAACUACGCUCGUUAUAAGCUUCAGCGACGACACUGAAUGUAAAAGCACUCUCACUGAGGUUUCCCCCGGCCUGGCAAAUUACCAUCAAAAGCUGAAUGCGAAUACGUGAGCGGUGCGGCGGGGAGUGAACCAGGAUGAUGGAGGGUUCCGUGCCGUGUGGGGAGUGCGCGGUAGUAGCUACAGAGACUUCGGCGGCAUCGGCCAAAACUGGAGGCGAAGAUAGCGAUAGAGAGAGGGAACAAAACAAACGACAACAAACGAAGAACACGGCACACAAAAAAUUACUGUUUCAGCAGACUGGCAGACGACGUGCCGGUUAUUGUACUAAGUGAGCAAUGCCGUCCCCGUACAACCAACCACAACCUAUUAUUUUAGACCAAAAAAAUAAAAAAUACCAGCUAUACUGAAGUACAUUUAAAAAACUAGCCCGUAACGGAUAUUGUAGUAAAUUAAGAAUUUAUUUAUCUGUUUAUAAAUAACAAUCGCAUUGGCCAUAAUUGUGCCGUUCAUAGCGAUAAUUAGGUGCUCGGCCAGCGAAGGUUAACAACGAUGUGCCGGAGCGACGGCGCAGCUCCUAGAGGGCGGCUGGACGGGACGGGACAGACGGGCCAGGGGCCAGGGGCCCGGGCACGGCCGGAGAGAGAGACCUGGAGAGGAAUGGCUGGAUGAGAGUCGUCCGCCGGGAGCGAGAUGGCACCACAACGAUAUCGCACAUCUCGCUCCCUUGCUGGUCUAUACGAACAAAACAAUAAUAAAAAUAAAACCUAGGACGGGAUUGGCCAUGGCUUAAAUACAUUUGUUGGGGCGUGGCCAAAAAAGCGCAAAGUAAUAAAACUGUAUAUGUUAAUGCAAGUGGACAUAUGAAUAUGUCUACAGUAGCUCUUCUGAUUAACCAUUAACGAGUUUUAAAUGCCUACAAAAAUUCAAUUAUCCCGUAAAAUUAUAUGCCAAAGGUAAUCAAAUUACCGCAACCAGCAAUGUCAUGAUAUUUUUGUACCAAAUUAUAUAUAAAUAUGUACUUAAUAUAAUCGCUAUCAUUACAAAUGUAUGUACACACGCAACUACAUCGAAGCUUGAAUGAGUUUAUUAUUUCAGUUAUGGUGAGUGCUUUUUGCUCUGCAAAAAAUUGCGACAUUAAUUUGUCGCACACGGCCAUAUUGUAAAUAUGCUAAUAAUGGAGGUUCCUCCAUUACAGUUUUCCAUUCAACCCAAUUCCAUCCCUAAAGCUUGAUUCGAGAAACCCUUUUUUCACCAUAAAGUACGAUGAAUACUGCAUGAAGAUUUUUAAAAGGAACGUAUUUUUAUGAAGAUUUUACAUGAUUAUAAUUUUAGAAUAAUAUUUUAAAAAUAAAAUAGUUUAAAAAGUUGAAUUUUUGUAUAAUUUCGAUAAAGAAUUUGAACAAUAAGUGUAAAAUAG